UACGUAGGGUCCGAGCGUUAAUCGGAAUUACUGGGCGUAAAGCGUGCGCAGGCGGUUUUGUAAGGCAGAUGUGAAAGCCCCGGGCUUAACCUGGGAAUGGCAUUUGGGACUGCAAGGCUGGAGUACGGCAGAGGGAGGUGGAAUUCCACGUGUAGCAGUGAAAUGCGUAGAGAUGUGGAGGAACACCGAUGGCGAAGGCAGCCUCCUGGGCUAGUACUGACGCUCAUGCACGAAAGCGUGGGGAGCAAACAGG
rnacentral:rRNA from 1 species